UACGGAGGGGGCUAGCGUUGUUCGGAAUUACUGGGCGUAAAGCGCACGUAGGCGGCUUUGUAAGUUAGAGGUGAAAGCCCAGGGCUUAACCCUGGAAUUGCCUUUAAGACUGCAUCGCUUGAAUCGUGGAGAGGUGAGUGGAAUUCCGAGUGUAGAGGUGAAAUUCGUAGAUAUUCGGAAGAACACCAGUGGCGAAGGCGACUCACUGGACACGUAUUGACGCUGAGGUGCGAAAGCGUGGGGAGCAAACAGGG
rnacentral:rRNA from 1 species